AUUCCAGCUCCAAUAGCGUAUAUUAAAGUUGUUGUGGUUAAAAAGCUCGUAGUUGGAUCUCAACAGCCUUGAAGCGGUUAACUUUGUAGUUUUACUGCUUUAUAGGCUGUGCUUUUGCUGGAGGUUUAGGGGUGCUCUUGAUCGAGUGUCUCUGGAUGCCAGCAGGUUUACUUUGAAAAAAUUAGAGUGCUCAAAGCAGGCUAAAAUGCCUGAAUAUUCGUGCAUGGAAUAAUAGAAUAGGAUGUCGAUCCUAUUUUGUUGGUUUUCGGGACUCGACAUAAUGAUAAAUAGGGACAGUCAGGGCACUCGUAUUCCGCCGAGAGAGGUGAAAUUCUCAGACCAGCGGAAGACGAACCACUGCGAAAGCAUUUGCCAGGGAUGUUUUCAUCG
rnacentral:rRNA from 1 species